rnacentral:ncRNA from 2 species
CUACACAUCCACGGGGGCUCGCACCAGCGGGCUGAGAGGACGGCUAGGGCCGUCGACCGUCGAACCUGUCCGGGUAAUGCCGGCGUAGGGAGCAUCAUCGAUGAGCAC